rnacentral:rRNA from 1 species
CCUACGGGAGGCAGCAGUGAGGAAUAUUGGUCAAUGGGCGCUAGCCUGAACCAGCCAAGUAGCGUGAAGGAUGACUGCCCUAUGGGUUGUAAACUUCUUUUAUAUGGGAAUAAAAUGCAGUAUGUAUACCACUUUGCAUUUACCUUAUGAAUAAGGAUCGGCUAACUCCGUGCCAGCAGCCGCGGUAAUACGGAGGAUCCGAGCGUUAUCCGGAUUUAUUGGGUGUAAAGGGAGCGUAGGCGGGUUGUUAAGUCAGUUGUGAAAGUUUGCGGCUCAACCGUAAAAUUGCAGUUGAUACUGGCAGUCUUGAGUACUGUAGAGGUAGGCGGAAUUCGUGGUGUAGCGGUGAAAUGCUUAGAUAUCACGAAGAACUCCGAUUGCGAAGGCAGCCUGCUGGACUGUAACUGACGCUGAGGCUCGAAAGUGUGGGGAUCAAACAGGAUUAGAUACCCGAGUAGUC